rnacentral:rRNA from 1 species
UACGGAGGAUGCGAGCGUUAUCCGGAUUUAUUGGGUUUAAAGGGUGCGCAGGCGGGAUCUUAAGUCAGCGGUGAAAUCUAGUGGCUCAACCACUAAACUGCCGUUGAAACUGGGAUUCUUGAGUAUGGAUGAAGUAGGCGGAACUCGUUGUGUAGCGGUGAAAUGCAUAGAUAUAACGAAGAACCCCAAUUGCGUAGGCAGCUUACUAAACCAUAACUGACGCUCAUGCACGAAAGCGUGGGUAUCAAAC